UAAUUGAAUUAUGAGGGCCGGUCUUUCCUGUGUUAUUCUUAUGAUGGUGAAUAAGUCUCACGAGAUCUGAUGAUCUAAAAAUGGGAAGUUCUCUG